rnacentral:rRNA from 1 species
GAUGAACGCUGGCGGCGUGCCUAAUACAUGCAAGUCGAGCGAAUGGAUUAAGAGCUUGCUCUUAUGAAGUUAGCGGCGGACGGGUGAGUAACACGUGGGUAACCUGCCCAUAAGACUGGGAUAACUCCGGGAAACCGGGGCUAAUACCGGAUAACAUUUUGAACCGCGAGGUUCGAAAUUGAAAGGCGGCUGCGGCGGUCACGUAUGGAUGUACCCGCGUCGCAUUAGCUAGUUGGGGAGGUAACGGGUCACCAAGGCAACGAUGCGUAGCCGACCUGAGAGGGUGAUCGGCCACACUGGGACUGAGACACGGCCCAGACUCCUACGGGAGGCAGCAGUAGGGAAUCUUCCGCAAUGGACGAAAGUCUGACGGAGCAACGCCGCGUGAGUGAUGAAGGCUUUCGGGUCGUAAAACUCUGUUGUUAGGGAAGAACAAGUGCUAGUUGAAUAAGCUGGCACCUUGACGGUACCUAACCAGAAAGCCACGGCUAACUACGUGCCAGCAGCCGCCGUAA